rnacentral:lncRNA from 7 species
UCCGGCCUUCUAUGAUCCUGUGAUUGUUUCAACAGCACUUUGAGGUGAACCUCACGUACGUGAGAGGCUUCAGCAGUUAGUUGUCUGGGGUCCACGUCUGCAGUGAAGGAAACGAGCAUUCUGCAGUGAGUUGAGGCAGAGUGUGAGACGAUUUUUGAAUUAAAAGAAAGCGUCGAUUUUAGAGUCACACAGAAGCAUGAGUAACAGGGUCUGGGCAGUGGAUGCUCACAGCUUUGCAAGAGUACCCCAUACAAAACCAGACCUCAGCGUUGCCACCAUGCCAGGGGGCUUUUGCCAAUGCCAAGCUGCAGGGGGGAGUGCGGCGUCUAGCAGACGGAUAUCUGUAAUCAGAAUUAGCAACAGAUAGUGCCCUGAUUGGCUGCCUCUGCAAAGAGGCUAACCCGGGAAGAAAUGGGAUUAAACUGCUCCCUCACCUCCAGGCAUCCCGGGGAUCACUGCUUCAUGUUUGAAGUAGUGCUCGUACUGAUGCUGCCCAUCUCCAGACAAGUUUUCAUGUAAAGAAAGGCUCCCUGGCACCGUCGCUCCUAUCUCUCUGCUUCCAAAUCUCAUGCUUUGGACUUGGUGUAAAUUACAGCAUGACAGCACUGUUAAGUUUCAGGGCUCCAUUCAGAGAACUUUCUGUUUCCCGCUCAGCUGGUGUGGCCAUCUGUCCAGCCAGCACAACUCUAUCUCUUAUAGCACCACUUGUACUUUGGAAGAACUUCAGCUUUCCUUAAAAUCCUGAUGCUGACAGGGAGCAUUUGCACUGCUGUCAGGCAGAACUUACCGUAGGAGCUCAGUGCCCAGAAAGGCUCCUGCCUGUGGUAACUCUGAGCAGCAGAAAAAGUAGAAGAGUGAAUUCUAACAGAACAGGAACAAAUAUUUUCUUUAAGGUGUCAGAUUAAUACAGAGCAUGCACUAUGCUUCACUUUUCAUUUUUCACUUUUACAACUGCUGCUGAGGCUGUUGGUUAGCCUCUGUGCAACGCGACAAUGAGCAACAAGACACCACAGAAGGGUGCAGCAUACUGCAUGCAGACCCUUCCUUGGCCACCCAAGACGAUGCUGCAGAUCUUGGUCCUGCCAGCACGAUGCUGAUCUGCUUGAGCACAGCCAUAUAGGAUGCCUGUGUACCCUUUUUGAAGUUCUGGGGGUGUUUCCCUCUUCCUCAGAUGAGCUCUUUGCAAAAAUCCUGCAAACAAGAGAAGAUGAGGCUGGUGAGAUACUCAAGGUAAUGUAAUGGAGGGAUAUAAGCGUCAUAAUCCAAAGCUCCACUGCAGGAAGCCACGUACUUAAGUCUUUUUGGACAAUUUCCUCAGAACUGUGAAAAACUACUGUUGCAGCAUGCUCCUGAUUUUCCACAUAUCUGUGGGUGCUUUCAGCCUUUCUAGCACUAAGUUUUGGCUCUGGGAUGUUCAGGAUAUGGCUUUACAGUUUGGAAGAGGUUCAGGUGGUAUUUAACUUCAAGCCAUGGGUACCAAGUGCUAGCCAAUUACCACAGACAUGUGCCAGUCUCCCCCUGCUGUAGUCCUGCGUCAGUAAACUGUAAGCAAUUUUGCCUAAUACAAACUGGGAGUCGGUCCCUGCUAUCUAAUGCAAUCCACUAGCGGAAAAGCACUGUCAGAAAAACAGAAACAGAAAUAUUUUUUCCAAGUAAAGAAAUUAAAGACAAAGUCUGAAAGUUUCGCUGCCAAAUGUAUUCGUUUCGAGUGUGUUUGUCUCAUUGAACACUCCUGUGAGAAUUUGGAGCACUUUAGAAUAGAGCUUGCACCAUGGCAUGCUUCAGCACAGAGCCUGAGUUCCUGUUGUAAAGGUGAAUAUCGUUCUCAUUUUAUAGGCGCUGAAAUUGAAUUAGAGAGUAUUUAGAUGCAGCAGAGCAAUGCAUAAUGUGACUCUAAGCAUACAAAUGUCUUAUUUUGGAACUACUCAAAUGCUUUAAACAAGUCAUGGUUUAAAUGGCUUGUCCAAAACCAUACAGCCAGGAAGAUGAGGGAGAGGGUCCGGCUCCUUACUGAGAUCUUUAAAGAAAGUAUCCUAAAUAUAAAUAGCGCAUCUCCAUCGAGGCUACAGGUGCUCAUAUUGAAGCUGUUUCUCUUUUUGGAAUGUAAUGAAUGCUGGCCAGCAAAUAUUGUAAAAGGCACUUUGUAACAUUGAAGUCAACACAGUAAUUAUAUUCAAUAUCCUGUGUUUUUGUCAGGCUUUCUUCUAGACAACUGAAUAUAAACUAGAGCACUGAUAAGCAAAGUAUUCUCCAGGAAGGAUACAAGACUACUUUAUUGCUUCACAUAACUUUUUUUUCAGUUUGCACUUACAUGGUAUCAAAGUAAUAUCACAUUGAAAACGUGACUGUGUGUGCAAGGAGUCAUGCUUCAGAGGAGGAGUUCUUUUCUCUUUCCUGUCUCUUCCAGAGAUAACUGGUCUUUCUGGCAUUAACUGGUGGUUUCACCGGAGCACGCAGCAUUGUGAUUAACCAGGGGCUUCAACUGAAAGGCAUGCAUGCAUUUUUGCAAUUUAAUGAUAAAGAUAUGUGUGCUUUGAAAACAUAUUAGAAACUUGUAGAAUGACUGUGGGGCUAUUAUUAUUUUCAUAUUGUGCCCUGCUAGCUUUCAUCGCCUCUAACAGGAUCAUACUGUUUCUCAUCUUUGCAGAAAUGUGAUGUUCUUGAAGGAGAUUUCUUUUUCCUGGAAACAUUUAAGUUGUCAUGUUGCCAGGUUAAAAUAAAGAGACUCUUGUCUC